AUUUUCCUUGCCCUAACCGAUUUUAAAGAGUAAGAAACCUCCAAGGAUGAGUUUUUGUUCGGUCAAGCUUAGAUUGGUGUAUGGAUUGAACAUUAAAUAGACUUUGUGCCUAUUUCAAGCAUUCUAAAUAGACUAACUUAUUGAAGCAAUCUUGAAGAAACUAAAGAAUUGAAAAAGCAAGUUGAAGACCUCCUAGAGAAAAACCUCAUUCGUGAUAGUCUAAGUCUAUGUAGUUCUAGUGCUUCUUGUGCCUAAGAAAGAUGGUUCGUGGAGAAUGUUUAUUGGAUUGUCAAGUGGUCAACAAGAUUAUGGUAAAGUAUAAACAUCUAAUUCCUCAGUUAUAUGUCAUGCUUGAUGAGUUAAAUAGUUCA